GUUUUUUCCACAUUUUGAACCAUUUAGUAUCCACAUAUUUUGUUGAGGAACCACGUCUCAUUCGAAAGUUCUCACUGAGCUAGCGUGCAAUUCAAGAUGAAGGCUUCCGUAGUUCUACUGUUGGCAUUUUUGACCCUUGUGUCCAUGGCUUCAGCCAUGCCAAGCCCGUUAAACGAGCAGCCACAAAAAGUACAAAGCGGCCAAAAACGAAGUGCUUAUAUGUUGGGUAUCAUUAAUGGAAAACUCGACAGGAUACUGAGAAUCUUGCAAAACAAUUCUUAAGAUCACCAAAGUAGUACUUAAAUAAAAAAGAUCAACCACGAUGUAAUUCACUAAAUAGAACACAAAAUAAAGCAUUUUAAAACGGA